AAUUCCCUCUAAUUCCCUCGUACGUUUCACCACCGCUACUUUGCAAAACCCUAGAAAACUCUUCAGACCUUGAAUCCUAAUCCUAAUCUACUCUUCUUGGAUCGUCGCCACCCAAAAGUUGCCUGUAAAGAUUGUAUUCAUGGUAAGUUUCUGUAUCCGAUUCAAAGUUCUUGACAUUUGAUUUUGAUAUUGGUUCUGGAAGAGAGCCACCCCUCUUUUGUUUUACGCAUAAAUCCUCCAUUCUAUGUUUUGAUCUGAAGCUAACUCAAUCCACAAUCAAGGUUUCAAAGAAGAAAUUUAUGGUUUCCAUUUCCCCAUCGAAUUCAUCGUUUCAAAUCUCUAAACCUCUGAUUCGUUGAACCCUAAAUAGUUCCUUCAUUCGCCAAACCCCAAAUCCUUCAUUCGCGAAACCCUAAAUCGUUUCGAUUUCCCUAUCGCUGUGUCUCCUCUUCCUUUACCAGUGAACCCUAAAUCCAUCUCCCCAAACCCUCUCAUCUUCCCCAGCAAUAUUCUGUCAGUAGAUCUAAAUCUGAACAAAUAUUGUAACGACUUGAGGGUUGCCAUGCUAGCGGCUAUGGUUCAUAUUCGAUAGCAAUCGUUGAUUUGGGUGAUCUACGAUCUACUUGAAAAAUCAUCUGGUCAUUUGGAACUCAGAGAGGACCUAGAGCAGGGGAUAGUUGUAGCUGGGCUAAGAUGUAUCAAGAUCAACUCAGCUGAUAAGAUUCUUGAGCUUUUCAAUGUUGGGAACAGUAGGCGCAAAAUUGACAACACAGAUGCGAACGAGACAUCAUCACGGUCUCGUGAACUUUUGGAAAUAACUGUGCUUAGAAAACAGAAAAGGAAAUACCAUAGUCAAGUUAUUUGUGGUAAACUCGCACUUGUGGAUCUUGCUGGGAGGAUUGUUUUCGAAGCCCUAGAUAUGGCAUACAUCUUCCUUCUCAAUGAAGCCUCUUAAAUCUAAACAUUCAAGCAUCAGGUACAAACAUCUCAUAAGAAAAUCCGUUGCAGUUUGAAGGUCUAUUGUAAACUUCACAAACAUCUCAUACGAAGAUUUGUCAGGUACUUUCAUUUGUUUGGGUCUACUCCAUUCCAAUGGAUCGUUAUUGCGAUGUUUACACUUUACAUAUGUAGCAUCUGUUAUACUGCAGGAGAACUAUUGCAUUCUAUUCUAUUUAUAAAAUCUAAGUUUUGCAUGUAGAUUGGUAAUUUCAUUUUUUGUGCACUAUUAUCAUUUCUAAGUGUAACCAUUUUAGGCGAAAGCUGGGGCUGGUUCUGCAACAUUAUCAAUGACGUAUGCAGCAGUUAAGUUUGCAGAUCGCUGUCUCAAGGGCUUAAAAGGAGAUGCUGACAUUAUGGAGUGUGCUUUUAUAGAAUCUCGGGUAACAGAACUCCCGAUUUUAUUUAUUUAUUUUUUUGUGAAAUUUUAAAUAAAAAUUUUAAUUUCUAUCUGCUUAAUUUGGAACAAACAGGUUUGGUUUGGAAGAAGUUAAAAAAGAGUUGGCAGGAAGCAUUGAGAAAGGAGUUUGUACCUUAAAUAGAUGUAUCAGAAUACCUAUUUAUACAUGUGCAGGAACUAGAUGGAACCAAAAAUGAGCGGGGUUGGUGCAAGCAAAAGCUUGGCGCAAAUGCCAUUCUGGCGGUGUCUCUUACAGCUGCAAAGCGGGAGCGAGUGUCAAAAACAUUCCUCUUUACAAGACAUAUGAACUGUUGAAAAAAGGUCAGAAGACGCUUUAGAUAUAUUAUAUUGGGUUUUUUAAAAAGCUGAAAACUUGAGGAGAAAAUGGAAGUUGUAAAUGAACAAGAUUCUCAUCAUCCACUCCAUCCUGUUCGUGCUUCAACUCCUUAACAUAUAAACAGAUACACGGAGUUCACCAGCGGGAUUUGAUAAUGAAGUUUUAAAUGUUGAAUUUGAGAAAAUGGCUAAAGCUUUUGUGGUUGGAGUUUCCACAUAUUCACAAUCUUUGCCUCUUACGAGGAGGUGAUCUAUCAAAAGUCAUAGAAUCCUUCAAAGUCAUGGACUUGAUGCACUAUCUAAACAAAAUCAAUAAGGGGAUACUUAUCUAUAUGUUGCUGCAGAGAAUGGGCAUGUUUAUGUAGGGAGCUUUUCGAACACGCUUUCUAUCUUUGAUAAUGGAAUUUUCUUCAAAAUGAACUCGACUUGAAUAGAUGAUGCUUAGGGACCGUGGUUGGUCAUGCAAGGCGUGAGGAAAAAAGCUUGUUUGUUUGGCAUUGAUAUAGGCUGAUCAACAGUUCGGUUAUAGAAAUGGCUUUUUUGACACAUGUGCAUAUGACAUCCAUCACUUUCAAAGCAUGACUUACAACCAGUUCUGCAUAAGAGCAUAGUACCAAAUCUUACUGGCCAGUCGGAGCGGAAAGUAGCUACACAAGUAGCCCAGUCAAGUACUCUUGAACCGCCUUCAUUUGGGCCAGUCGGUUCUGUGCUGGUUAUUGAACCGACGAACCGGAUUGAUGCAUUGCUGUGGCGUACGAACGACCACACCCAUGAAAGGAAGUCCCGGAUCUGGUGGUGACGCGACUAGGGUUCCGUCGUUGGAGCUGUGACUGUGGCGUACGAACGGGUAUUCAGGUCAACGGUGGUGGUUGUGGCAGCAAGAACAAAACAUAUUGUAUUGGACUUUGCUUCUGUUGCGGGUAAAAAAUGCACUUACGACGCCCUAUGAUUGAACCAGAAAGUUUGUUGGAGGGUAUUGACAACCUAUCAAAGUCAAAGACAAAGCACACAUGAAUCGGUUGAAAAGAAGGUGAAAGUCGGUUACAAGUGGGAUUGAAAGUUUUGUGUAUAUAUAUAUAUAUCUAUUAUAUAUAUGCACCCUGCGUAAAAGCCUUGAUGGGGGGAACUCGAAGUAAUUCUGAAUAUUCUUAUUUUUGUGAUCAAUAAUGCUAUACAUCAUUGCCGGUAUUUGUGGGUUUACUAUUGUGAUUGAAAAUACCAGUUUUUAACUGUCUCCAGUUGGAAACAUACCAUAUUGAUAGGCAGGCUCCUGAAGACCCAAUACCCGACUCGACGCCUGACCCACGACCCGACCCGACCGGAGUCACAUGGGAAGCACAUGGUUCAAUUGGAUUUAGUCAAUUUCUGUCAACAUUUGAUCACAAGCAGUACCCACGUUUUCUACAUAUCAAUCAAGAGUUAUUUUAUUUCCAUGUCAAUUUUAAUCUCUUUCUUAUUUUCGUUUAUUUUGAAUUAGUCUAGAACAGUUAUUUAUGUUUCCCUAAAUGUAGCUACGUGGGUGGUUGUAUCCCCUUUCUUCCAUAUGUAUUGAACAAUUCAUGAAUGAGAAGGGCAGUGAGUUUUAGAAUGAAAAUCUUUGUGUUAAUUAUCUCA